UACGUAGGGCGCAAGCGUUGUCCGGAAUUAUUGGGCGUAAAGAGCUCGUAGGCGGCUUGUCACGUCGGAUGUGAAAGCCCGAGGCUUAACCUCGGGUCUGCAUUCGAUACGGGCUAGCUAGAGUGUGGUAGGGGAGAUCGAAUUCCUGGUGUAGCGGUGAAAUGCGCAGAUAUCAGGAGGAACACCGGUGGCGAAGGCGGAUCUCUGGGCCAUUACUGACGCUGAGGAGCGAAAGCGUGGGGAGC
rnacentral:rRNA from 1 species